rnacentral:rRNA from 1 species
AUUGAACGCUGGCGGCACGCCUAACACAUGCAAGUCGAGCGGCAGCGCGACUAGUAGCAAUACGAGUUGUCGGCGAGCGGCGGACGGGUGAGUAACACGUAGGAAUCUGCCCUUAAGCGGGGGAUAACCAAGGGAAACUUUGGCUAAUACCUCAUAAUCUCGAGAGAGCAAUGCUGCCCGCCAGGGUGGCACGUGAGGAGGAGCCUGCGUCCGAUUAGCUAGUUGGGGGGGUAAUGGCGUACCAAGGCGAUGAUCGGUAGAUGGUCUGAGAGGACGACCAGUCACACUGGGACUGAGACACGGCCCAGACUCCUACGGGAGGCAGCAGUGGGGAAUAUUGGACAAUGGGGGCAACCCUGAUCCAGCGAUGCCGCGUGAGUGAAGAAGGCCUUCGGGUCGUAAAGCUCUUUAGGUUGGGAAGAAGGGUAUUGGCUGAAUAAUCCAGUACUUUGACGGUACCGACAGAAUAAGCACCGGCAAACUCUGUGCCAGCCGCCGCGGUAAUAC